AUUGAACGCUGGCGGCAUGCCUUACACAUGCAAGUCGAACGGUAACAGGUCUUCGGAUGCUGACGAGUGGCGAACGGGUGAGUAAUACAUCGGAACGUGCCCGAUCGUGGGGGAUAACGGAGCGAAAGCUUUGCUAAUACCGCAUGCGAUCUACGGAUGAAAGCAGGGGACCGCAAGGCCUUGCGCGGACGGAGCGGCCGAUGGCAGAUUAGGUAGUUGGUGGGAUAAAAGCUUACCAAGCCGACGAUCUGUAGCUGGUCUGAGAGGACGACCAGCCACACUGGGACGGAGACACGGCCCAGACUCCUACGGGAGGCAGCAGUGGGGAAUUUUGGACAAUGGGCGAAAGCCUGAUCCAGCCAUGCCGCGUGCAGGAUGAAGGCCUUCGGGUUGUAAACUGCUUUUGUACGGAACGAAAAGACUCCUUCUAAUAAAGGGGGUCCAUGACGGUACCGUAAGAAUAAGCACCGGCUAACUACGUGCCAGCCGCCGCGGUAAGAC
rnacentral:rRNA from 1 species